UUAUUGACCUCUUAGUCUGCUUUUUAUCUAUUCAAACACCUUUAAGCAAGCAAGACAACUUUAUCUUUACAUUCACCAUCACUACCACAGCAGUUUAUCAUAGUAUCCAGGUUAAAGAACUGUUCUUCACUUAAUCAAUCAUUUUUACAGCAAAGCUAAACUUGUUUGACUUCAAUGCUUUGUCCCUCCUUCUUCACCUCAUCUGUCAUAUAUAGUCAGGCAUGUAUGUAAGACUUCUUCCCUUUGGCUAUUCGCUUUUAUCAAGAGUUCAAGAGUGCAGAACAACCAGUGAUAAUUUCAACAAGGAAUGUUAACAUCAUCACCAGUUAUUAUAAUAGCCAAUACAUCAUCAUCAUCAACAGUCCAAUAUGAAUACUAAAGAUUAUGAGAGUUGUGGAAUCUCUGAAAAUUUGACAAUGCAAUCAGCUUAUGAAAUUUUUUGACAUACACUUGCUACCAAGCCUUGACCCUACUCCCUACGGUAUUAGUUUUAAGGAAUUCCUUCUCUGCCCAUUUAUUUUUUCCUUAAAGUGGUCAGCUUGCAGUUGGUCAAAAGAAAUAUCAACUGGAUUGAUUUCACUGGGCCCACAAAAGCCAUGGCUCAAACCCUUUCUACAAACCAAACCAUUAAACACACACAAAAGCAGACCUGCCACAGAAGUUUGAAGAAUAAUAAAAAUUAUUUUGGCCCAUUAAUACACCAUGUUCGUUUCUGUCCAUGUUUCUAACAGCCUUUGUACUCUCAAACUUGUUGGUUCCAAACCAGUAAUAAUAUUCAGUUCUAUCACUGCUCUGCAUUAUUGGGUUUUUCAAAAGAAACUAAUAUAACAUCAGUAGAUCAGAUCAAGACGCUUAGGACAAACCAACUGUUAAAAACAUUUUAUUUGAGACUGUUAAUGCAUGUGAGAAAGGAAUGACUAUUACAAAAUCUCAUUUUCUUUCCUUGCUCCAAAUUAUAGAGCCUUUGUGAUUAUUAAAAAGAAAGAAGGGGGAAAAAAG